UACGGAGGAUGCAAGCGUUAUCCGGAAUGAUUGGGCGUAAAGCGUCCGCAGGUGGCAAUGUAAGUCUGCUGUCAAAGCGUCUGGCUCAACCAGAUAAAGGCAGUGGAAACUACAUAGCUAGAGUAAGGUAGGGGUAGAGGGAAUUCCUGGUGUAGCGGUGAAAUGCGUAGAGAUCAGGAAGAACACCGGUGGCGAAAGCGCUCUGCUGGACCUUAAAUGACACUGAGGGACGAAAGCUAGGGGAGCGAAUGGG
rnacentral:rRNA from 1 species